AAUAUUUUUAUUAUUUUUAUUAUAGAAACGAGCUUUAACACCACUGUAAUAUCUCAAUUUUGUCCACAAUUCAAAUAAAAAGUAUAUUUAUCUAAAAAUAUUGUAAAAAAUUAAAAAUACAUCAAAAUAAAACAAAUAAAAAAGGAAGUCCCAUCUGUCGAUGCUUUGUUGCGCGUGUUGAAGUGUGCCGUGUGCAGAACCAUGUUUCCUGCUUCCUCACAUGCUUUCCCUGCACUCUAUCUUUCUCUGCACUCUAUCUAUCGGUUCAUUUUAUUUUAAUUUUAUUAUUUUUCAAUCUAAUAAUGGUAUUAAUUUUAUCAUUUUGAAUACUCAAUCAAAAAAGACUAGCCCCAAACCAGGGUAAAAUCCAAAACUUAAUUUAUACUAUGAACGCAACCCUUCCCCUUAGUUGUAUCGGUUUGCUCGCUGGAUAUAGUUGCCAAAGCAGCAGAAAAUCUAAAAAUUAAUUUAUACAAUAAACACACCCUUCUUCGUUUUAUCCUAUAUAUUGGAAGAAAAAAUCAAAACAGGGGAGAAAAGAAAAACAAUCACAAGAUAUAAAUUGGGAGAGUUUCAUUUCUUUGCUUUCGAUUUCUAAAAAAAACAAUAGAAAGAGAUAGUGUUACCGCAAAGAAGAAAGGAAGAUCUACCAUCAGUUUGCUUCCUAUCAACCCUAGCCUUGAAGCCAGUUCUAACAACGAAAAUGGUAAAAGGAAAAGAAGGGAUUCCUCUAUCACCAUAUUUAGGAAUAAUUGAGGUUUUUAGGUUUCUCAAUGAAUUACCAAGAUCGAAGGAGUUGAAUCAACAAAAGGUGAAUAUUAAAGGUUGAAGGCUUCACAUAGGUUGAAUUUGCAAUUGUAUCACUUAGAAUUCAUAGUGAUUCUUGGAAGAGGGUUUCAAAAAUGGAAAAACUCUUAGAUUCACAAAGAGCGAAUAUAUUGUAGCAAAUGUGUUUGUUCAUUUGUUUGAAAGGAGUUUAUUGUAGUAAACAUAACAAUUCAUA